AUGGACAUGAGGGUCCCCACUCAGCUCCUGGGGCUCCUGCUGCUCUGGCUCCCAGGUGCCAGAUGUGACAUCCAGAUGACCCAGUCUCCAGAAUCCCUGUCUGCAUCUCCAGGAGACAAAGUCACUAUCACUUGCCAGGCAAAUCAGAACAUUGGUACUGAAUUAGACUGGUAUCAGCAGAAACCAGGGAAAGCUCCUAAGCUCCUGAUCUAUCAUGUAUCCAAUUUGCACACGGGGGUCCCAUCAAGGUUCAGUGGCAGUAGAUCUGGGACAGAUUACACCCUUACCAUCAGCAGCCUGGAGCCUGAAGAUGCUGCAACUUAUUACUGUCAACAGGAUUACAGUUACCCUCCCACAGUGUUACAAGUCAUAACAUAA